rnacentral:piRNA from 1 species
UGUUGCACAGGAAGUAACCAGGG